GCCAGGUGCAGUGGGGCAUUCCUGUAGUCCCAGCUACUCGGGAGGCUGAGGCAGGAGGAUCGCUUGACCCAGGAGUUCUGGACUAUAGCGCACUGCGCCGAUCAAGUGUCUGCACUAAGUUUAGCAUCAAUAUGGUGACCUCUUGAGAGCAGGAUGACCAAGUUGCCUAAAGAGGGGUGAACUGGCCCAGGUCAGAAGUGGAGCAGGUCAAAACUCCUGUGCUGAUCAGCAGUGAGAUUGUGCGUAUGAAUAGCCACUGCACUCCAGCCUGGGCAACAUAGUGAGACCUGUCUCU
rnacentral:SRP_RNA from 1 species